rnacentral:tRNA from 1 species
ACACCGGUCUUGUAAGCCAAACACCGGUCUUGUAAGCCGUAAACUGAAGCUUAAAACCUUCUCUGAGUU